rnacentral:sRNA from 1 species
UCCCAGGGUGACGCCCCGGCGAGCAAG